rnacentral:rRNA from 1 species
GAUCCUGGCUCAGGAUGAACGCUAGCUACAGGCUUAACACAUGCAAGUCGAGGGGAAACGAUAUUGGAAGCUUGCUUCCGAUAGGCGUCGACCGGCGCACGGGUGAGUAACGCGUAUCCAACCUGCCCAUCACUUGGGAAUAACCUUGCGAAAGUAAGACUAAUGCCCAAUGACAUUUAUAGAAGGCAUCUGAAAUGAAUUAAAGAUUUAUCGGUGAUGGAUGGGGAUGCGUCUGAUUAGCUUGUUGGCGGGGUAACGGCCCACCAAGGCGACGAUCAGUAGGGGUUCUGAGAGGAAGGUCCCCCACAUUGGAACUGAGACACGGUCCAAACUCCUACGGGAGGCAGCAGUGAGGAAUAUUGGUCAAUGGGCGAGAGCCUGAACCAGCCAAGUAGCGUGCAGGAAGACGGCCCUAUGGGUUGUAAACUGCUUUUAUAGGGGAAUAAAGUGAGCCACGUGUGGCUUUUUGCAUGUACCCUAUGAAUAAGGACCGGCUAAUUCCGUG